GAAGAAUAAGCACCGGCUAACUACGUGCCAGCAGCCGCGGUAAUACGUAGGGUGCAAGCGUUAAUCGGAAUUACUGGGCGUAAAGCGUGCGCAGGCGGUUAUGUAAGACAGAGGUGAAAUCCCCGGGCUCAACCUGGGAACUGCCUUUGUGACUGCAUAGCUAGAGUACGGUAGAGGGGGAUGGAAUUCCGCGUGUAGCAGUGAAAUGCGUAGAUAUGCGGAGGAACACCGAUGGCGAAGGCAAUCCCCUGGACCUGUACUGACGCUCAUGCACGAAAGCGUGGGGAGCAAACAGGAUUAGAUACCCUAGUAGUCC
rnacentral:rRNA from 1 species